rnacentral:rRNA from 1 species
AGGACGAACGCUGGCGGCGUGCUUAACACAUGCAAGUCGAGCGGAGAAUAUAGCAAUAUAUCGUUAGCGGCGGACGGGUGAGUAACGCGUGGGCAAUCUGCCUCAUACAGGGGGAUAACACUGGGAAACUAGUGCUAAUACCGCAUAAAAUAGUGAAGUGGCAUCACUUUACUAUCAAAGGGAGCAAUCCGGUGUGAGAUGAGCCCGCGUCCGAUUAGCUAGUUGGAGGGGUAACGGCCCACCAAGGCGACGAUCGGUAGCCGAACUGAGAGGUUGAUCGGCCACAUUGGGACUGAGACACGGCCCAGACUCCUACGGGAGGCAGCAGUGGGGGAAUAUUGCGCAAUGGGGGGAAAAACCCCCUGACGCAGCAACGCCGCGUGAAGGAUGAAGGUUUUCGGAUUGUAAACUUCUUUGAUUGGGGACGAUAAUGACGGUACCCAAAAAACAAGCCACGGCUAACUACGUGCCAGCCGCUGC